AUAACAUGAUGUGGAACUUUUGCAACAACACCUUGAAACGUUCCCAUGCCUCAUAUUAGGAUUCAUGAUCGCACUGUUGGAAUGUGGUAAUCUCAUUCCUAAGCUU
rfam:Gossypium hirsutum cultivar TM-1 chromosome 17, whole genome shotgun sequence